GGGGGAAUUAUCUACCCUUUUUACACAAACUGCAUGAAAAAUUGAAAUUUAUGAUAUUUUGGUGCUCUCUUUCUUUCUUUCUUUCUUUUUUUUUUUUUCCUUCCAGUUAUAAAUUAGUCCUAUUUAUCAUCCAUUCAUCCUCAACACAACUACAAAUUCGGGAUUUCAUGUCCAAAUAAAUAGUGCUCUUUCAUAGCCAAUUCUAAAAAACGCACAAAACAGAAAUGGUAGUGAAAGCAUAUUUCCAAAGCUAACUCAGUUACAACAAAUAAAUCAUCGAUUAAUUGACAAAAUCAUGUGGAAAAUUAGGAGCUAGAAAAAGAAAAUUCAAGAACCCAAAAACUUGCCCUAUUAAAUUCAAGCAACAUUAAUUAUUCAUUAAAUCUUUUCCAUCUCGCCUUUCUACACUCUAACCAGAUAUAAAGUGUGAAAAAUAUGAAAUUUCCGAAACGAGGUGCCUUUAAUUCCCCAAGUUUUCUUGUUUUCUUUAAAAUAUGUCCUAAUUAUCAGUAAUUACUCAAAACCACUGCAAAUUCAGGAUAGAGCCAAAUAAACAGUACUUGAAGCAUAAUUUUUAAGCUGAAUCAACUAUAAAAAACUAAUCAGCAAUUAAUCGGCAAAACCUCACGAAAAACAAUUAUUUAGAGCAAGAAAAUAAAAAGGCAAACUCAAGAACCCAAAACUAUAACUGUAAAUUUAAUCAAUUUUCCAUACUUGAGUGAUUAAGUCUGGCAUCUUGGAGAGCAGAAAACUUCUUAGUUGAAUGAACUCCAGCAGCCCAGUAAUCAAAAUCCAUUUUCCCUACAGUUUAAAUCAAGAAAUAGUAGCAAUUCACUAAAACAUACGCACUUUUUUUAAAUUGGAUUUACAGAAUGAACAAGAAAAUUAAUUUUCAGAUAGAACUUGAGUACAGUUUAGGAAUCAUAAUCAAGGGGCUUCACCUUCUACUUUUGCCGUCGAAUCUUUGGUGGAAAUGUAGACUGGAAGGACUGCUGCCGACUGCCGCAUCUCGAGAAGUUCAAGGACUCGAAGGUGCUGUGUGACCUGCGUCUAGGGCCCGAAUGUCGGAGGCCGGUGGUCAGUGGUGGAAGGCGGCGAGAUGGAGAGGAGGAGAGACGGGAGCCGCCGGUCGCGAAGGGUGGGAGUAAAAUUCGUGGUUUGAGGAGUCCAUUAAUGGUCCAAAAAGAAAAGGCUUUUUUUGCAAAGUUUUAU
rnacentral:lncRNA from 1 species